AGUGAACGCUGGCGGUAGGCCUAACACAUGCAAGUCGAACGGCAGCACAGUAAGAGCUUGCUCUUACGGGUGGCGAGUGGCGGACGGGUGAGGAAUACAUCGGAAUCUACUUUUUCGUGGGGGAUAACGUAGGGAAACUUACGCUAAUACCGCAUACGACCUACGGGUGAAAGCAGGGGAUCUUCGGACCUUGCGCGAUUGAAUGAGCCGAUGUCGGAUUAGCUAGUUGGCGGGGUAAAGGCCCACCAAGGCGACGAUCCGUAGCUGGUCUGAGAGGAUGAUCAGCCACACUGGAACUGAGACACGGUCCAGACUCCUACGGGAGGCAGCAGUGGGGAAUAUUGGACAAUGGGCGGAAGCCUGAUCCAGCCAUACCGCGUGGGUGAAGAAGGCCUUCGGGUUGUAAAGCCCUUUUGUUGGGGAAGAAAAGCAGCAGGUUAAUACCCCGCUGUUCUGACGGUACCCAAAGAAUAAGCACCGGCUAACUUCGUG
rnacentral:rRNA from 1 species